GACGAACGCUGGCGGCGUGCUUAACACAUGCAAGUCGAACGAAGUGGCGAACGGGUGAGUAACGCGUAAUCAACCUGCCCUUCAGCGGGGGAUAACAGGUGGAAACGACUGCUCAUACCGCAUACUGAAGGAGGGGAUUGCGGCGGAUUAGGUAGUUGGAGGGGUAACGGCCUACCAAGGCGAUGAUCAGUAGCCGGUGUGAGAGGAUGAACGGACAAAUUGGGACUGAGACACGGCCCAGACUCCUAAGGGAGGCAGGAGUGGGGAAUCUUCCGGAAUGGACGAAAGUCUGACGGAGCCACGCCGCGGGAGUGAUGACGGCCUUCGGGUUGUAAAGCUCUGUUAAUCGGGACGCGGUACCUGAAUAGAAAGCCACGGCUAACUACGUGCCAGCAGCCGCGGUAAUAC
rnacentral:rRNA from 1 species